AGAGUUUGAUCAUGGCUCAGAUUGAACGCUGGCGGCAUGCCUUACACAUGCAAGUCGAACGGCAGCGCGGGAGCAAUCCUGGCGGCGAGUGGCGAACGGGCGAGUAAUAUAUCGGAACGUGCCCUGUAGCGGGGGAUAACCUAUCGAAAGAUGGACUAAUACCGCAUACGCUCUACGGAGGAAAGCGGGGGUCGCAAGACCUCGCACUAUAGGAGCGGCCGAUAUCGGAUUAGCUAGUUGGCGGGGUAAAAGCCCACCAAGGCGACGAUCCGUAGCUGGUCUGAGAGGAUGAUCAGCCACACUGGAACUGAGACACGGUCCAGACUCCUACGGGAGGCAGCAGUGGGGAAUUUUGGACAAUGGGCGCAAGCCUGAUCCAGCCAUGCCGCGUGAGUGAAGAAGGCCUUCGGGUUGUAAAGCUCUUUCGGCAGGAACGAAAUGGUUCGUGCUAAUACCACGGACUGAUGACGGUACCUGAAGAAGAAGCACCGGCUAACUACGUGCCAGCAGCCGCGGUAAUACGUAGGGUGCAGGCGUUAAUCGGAAUUACUGGGCGUAAAGCGUGCGCAGGCGGUUUCUUAAGUCAGAUGUGAAAGCCCCGGGCUUAACCUGGGGAACUGCGUUUGAAACUGGGAGACUUGAGUGUGGCAGAGGGGGGUGGAAUUCCACGUAGCAGUGAAAUGCGUAGAUAUGUGGAGGAACACCGAUGGCGAAGGCAGCCCCCUGGGUUAACACUGACGCUCAUGCACGAAAGCGUGGGGAGCAAACAGGAUUAGAUACCCUAGUAGUCC
rnacentral:rRNA from 1 species